UGUGAUGCGUAAGAGUUCUUUAUCGCCAGUCAUCCGCGGGCACAAGCUUAGGUAGCGCAUUUUAUUCACAUAUACGGGAAACUUAACACCUGAAAAGAGUACAAAGUUCCAGGAAGGGGCUUAAGCCAGCACAGGGCGGCACAGUGACUUGUAGCUUUGCCUUACGUGUGGGUGACCUGGACAGCGUUCGAGACUGAAUUCGACACAUGGUUCGGCUCACGGUUCGACUCAAGUAAAUGUGUCACAGCGUGGGUAGGUAGCUGUGUGCUGUGGCCGUGCUGUGAUGUAUCG